UCGGAUUUCGACAAAACGAUU
ensembl:piRNA 21ur-3989 ncRNA